UUGGAUCAGUUUCAUCAGAAG
rnacentral:miRNA from 1 species